GGUGCCAUAGUCUAGUGGUAUGACAUCACGUUGUGGCCGUGAUAGCGAGGGUUCGAUUCCCUCUGGCGCCA